GCCAAGGGAAAGAUUAUAAAUAAAUUCAGAGGUGCUGAAUUCAUUUACUGUCAGGCUGUUUUGGCUUUUUCAAGUUCUAGUUCUUGUGUGGUUUCUGUGUGAGUGGAAGCUCCUGAUUUAGAUUCUGACUUACGGCAUCUUUUUUUGUUAAAGAAUUAAUUUUUUGAUGUGGACCACUUUUAAAGUCUUUACCGAAUUUGUUACAGUAUUGUUUCUGUUUUGUGUUUUGGCUUUUUGGACGUGAGGUGUGUGGGGUCUCAGCUCCCGGACCAGGGACGGAACCUGCAAUCUUUGCGUUGAAAGGUCUCCUCUUAACCUCGAGACCGCCAGGGACGUCCUCGGUUAGUUCUCAAGAACUCCUACGGCCCAUCUUUUCCCAGACAAAAUAUCCAUUCUCUCUAGGGAAACAUACCUCAGCAGAAGAUUGGGAGGACCAAGCCAGGGUCUGAAAAUCUAACAUCCUUGGGCGUGCGCAGGCCAUUAACAGAGGAAGCUGGAAAUGAGACAUCCUGUCUGAUGCAACCGUCCGGACACCCAAUAUGGUUGACCGUGACACCCAACUGCCUAUAAUUAGAGUGAUUACUAGUGUUUCGGCACUCGGAAUGAGAGCUGGGAAAGAAUAGACCCGCGAUGGGUAAAUGUACGUGGCAGUCUGUGGUUAAAGGGGAGAGGAGGAGCUCUGAGAGCAGGUCGUUUCCCCGGGCUGAGGCCGAAGUACCGUUUCAACGUGCAAAUUUAAUAACGUCUUCUGCGGAAAAGUGAGGAAAUACAUGAAGAGUCUGGGAAGGUGGACCUUCAAGGGUAUCGAAAGGGAAUUCUGCACGAUGUCAUGGCGUCAAUUCCAGUCUCCUGAUGAGGGAUGGAAACUACAGCCCAGCGCUGGAAGCAUGGAGUCUUAACCACUGGACAGCCAGGGACGUCCCAGCUUCGUUUCUUGGUUGACAUGAAGAUGGC
ensembl:lncRNA